GUCCCCACCCAUAACCGGCGGGUGGGGACCCCAUGUCACUUUAUUAUUUGUGGUCCCCACCCGCCGGUUAUGGGUGGGG